AGAGAGACCCCAGCAGCAGCAGCAGCUGAUGAUGAAGAGAGAGGCAGUGGCAGAGGGGGGGCACCUUUUAUUUCUAUUUUUAAAGGGACAGGACACUAAUUUUACCCCACUUCAACCUUGAAUUGAGGGGGGUGGGGGGAAGGCGGCUGAGUUCCUUCCCCCACCCUCCAGCCCUGAGACCUGAGAGGGGGAUUGAGCCUGAGAAAGAAGGAGAAGGAGUUUCUUCUUCUUCCAAACCCCCCCAUCCACGACUCCUACCCCCUCACCCCUCCACUAGCCUCCCUCCCGAGCCCUCUCCAUCCUCCUCCUCUUUGGCCGUGAGAGGAGAGAAAGAGACCAAAAGCCUCUUAGCAACACAGACCCUUCUCUGCUGCUGCUGCUGCUGCUGUUGCUGUUGCUGCUGCUGUUGCUGCUGCUGCUGCUGCUGCUACUGCUGCUUGGCCCUGGCUGGAGACAUCUCACUACACCCAGGAGCAGCCACUUCCCCAGCUCUCCUCCUCCUUCGCCUCCUCCUCCUCCUCCACUCCCCCCCUCUUUAUUACCCUUUGUGUCAUCCUCCACAGCUCCAGGGAAGGCACUCAAAAGUGGGGGGCAGGAAAGGAUGCCACCACCUUCCUGUGACAUGCCUACCUUGAAACUUCAUCUUUAUAUUGGGAUUAUAAAGUUCUACCCAACCAGAAUUUAAAUAUUCCAAAAACAAAGACAUAAAACAAAAGAUGCUUAUUGAGGAUAUCAUUUUCUGUGUGUGGGAAUUAGAUACUGAAGGUUACAUGGUUUACAGACAAGAUCUUUAAAAAGAGACAUUCAAGGACCAAGGAAAUAAAUACCAGAAACCAAGAGCACAGAGUAUUUUCCUUCAUCAAUCCAUAGACUCUUCUCUAGUUUAAUCAAACACAAAAGAAUGACCACCUUGGCAAAUGG
rnacentral:lncRNA from 1 species